AACCUGGCCCUUUGGAAACCCACUAUGCCCAGUAUCUAUUCCUAAAAAGCCAUAUUUCUUCUCUCGCGAUAUUUUCUUUCGCUCUGUGGCAAGGGUGCAGCGCUCCUUCAUCACUUUCUUCUUCAAUCUUUUGUCAUUCUUCACCAUAAGAAAAUUACACCAAAUCACCCCAUGAAAUUCAUGCUAUUGAAGGACAAAAAUAUCUUGCAAGUGGAAAGGUUGUUGGCAUGGUUUUGGGAGAUAGGGUUUGUGCUAAGGAAUGAGAAGAGCACCCACCCCUUCAUGAUUACUCAGUCGGGUUAUUGAGAUUUAUCGGCUAGUGGUUCGUUCGGUUGGCGUGGAGCUGUUGAGAGCGAUUCAGUUGAUUCGUCUUGGUUAUUCACAAGCAACUAAGUAGUAAGCGGGUGUCAGAUUCAAAUCGUUCAAUUUAUCUUAUUGGUAGGCCUCCUUUGGUUGGUGGCUCGAUGGGUGUCUUUUAUUUGAUUCUAGUUAUCUGCAGCUAUAGGGAGUAUUAGGAGGAUUUUAGAUUUUAGAUUUUUAUUUAUUGUUUUGUUGUAAAAGUUGUACUAGAGUGCUAAAAUUGAAAAUUUCCUUUUAAUGGAAGUUUGAAAAUGGAGAUCAUUAUUUGACAGGUUUUGUCAUUUGA